rnacentral:rRNA from 1 species
UACGUAGGGGGCAAGCGUUGUUCGGAUUCAUUGGGCGUAAAGGGUGCGUAGGCGGCGCGGUAAGUCGGGUGUGAAAUCUUGGAGCUUAACUCCGAAACUGCAUUCGAUACUGCCGUGCUUGAGGACUGGAGAGGAGACUGGAAUUUACGGUGUAGCGGUGAAAUGCGUAGAUAUCGUAAGGAAGACCAGUGGCGAAGGCGGGUCUCUGGACAGUUCCUGACGCUGAGGCACGAAGGUCAGGGGAGCAAACGGG